rnacentral:rRNA from 1 species
AUUGCACGCUGGCGGCAGGCCUAACACAUGCAAGUCGAACGGCGCGGCGGACGGGUGAGUAAUGCCUAGGAAUCUACCUGGUAGUUGUGUAUAACGUCCGGAAACGGGCGCUAAUAACGCAGACUAUCAGAUUAGCCUCGGUCGGAUGAGCUAGGUGGUGGGGUAAAGGCUUACCAAGGCGACGAUCCGAAACUGGUCUGAGAGGAUGAUCAGCCACACUGGAACUGAGACACGGGCCAGACUCCUACGGGAGGCAGCAGUGGGGAAUAUUGGACAAUGGGCGAAAGACUGAUCCAGCCAUGCCGCGUGAGUGAAGAAGGUCUUCGGAUUGUAAAGCACUUUCAGUUGGGAGGCGGUAUCAACAGAAUAAGCACCGGCUAACUUCGUGCCAGCAGCCGCGGUAAUUC